CCAAUAGCGUAUAUUAAAGUUGUUGCAGUUAAAAAGCUCGUAGUUGAAUUUCGGGGUUAGUAGGUUGGUCAUGCCUCUGGUAUGUACUGGUCUCACUGAUUCCUCCUUCCUGAUGAACCUUAAUGCCAUUUAUUUGGUGUUUUGGGGAAUUUGGACUGUUACUUUGAAAAAAUUAGAGUGUUUAAAGCAAGCUAACGCUUGAAUACAUUAGCAUGGAAUAAUGAAAUAGGACGUUCGAUCCUAUUUUGUUGGUUUCUAGGAUUGACGUAAUGAUUAAUAGGGAUAGUUGGGGGCAUUAGUAUUCAAUUGUCAGAGGUGAAACUCUUGGAUUUAUUGAAGACUAACUACUGCGAAAGCAUUUGCCAAGGAUGUUUUCAUUAAUCAAGAACGAAAGUUAGGGGAUCGAAGACGAUCAGAUACCGUCGUAGUCUUAACCAUAAACUAUGCCGACUAGGGAUCGGAUGAUGUUAAUUUUUUAAUGACUCAUUCGGCGCCUUACG
rnacentral:rRNA from 1 species